rnacentral:rRNA from 1 species
GGACGAACGCUGGCGGCAUGCUUAACACAUGCAAGUCGAGGGAUAGCAAUAUCACUGGCGGACGGGUGAGUAACACGUAGGUGAUCUGCCCCUAUCACAGACAUAACGUCGGGAAACCGGCGCUAAUAUCUGAUGAGGUCGAGAGAUCAAAGCCUUUGGGCGGAUAGGGAUGAGCCUGCGUCUGAUUAGCUAGUUGGUGAGGUAACGGCUCACCAAGGCCACGAUCAGUAGCUGGUCUGAGAGGACGAACAGCCACACUGGAACUGAGACACGGUCCAGACUCCUACGGGAGGCAGCAGUGAGGAAUAUUGGUCAAUGGGAGCAAUCCUGAACCAGCAAUGCCGCGUGUGGGAUGACGGGGCUCAGCCCUGUAAACCACUGUCGGACGGGACGAAAGGAGCCUUCAGGGCUCUGGGACGGUACCGUCAAAGGAAGGGUCGGCUAACUACGUGCCAGCAGCCGCGGUAAUACGUAGGACCCGAGCGUUGUCCGGAAUUACUGGGUAUAAAGGGUGCGCAGGCGGCCGUGUGCGUCAGAGGUGAAAUCUCCGGGCUUAACCCGGAGGGUGCCUUUGAUACGGCAUGGCUUGAGUCCGAGAGAGGGUGAUGGAAUUCCUGGUGUAGCAGUGAAAUGCGUAGAUAUCAGGAGGAACACCGGUGGCGAAGGCGGUCACCUGGCUCGGCACUGACGCUUAGGCACGAAAGCGUGGGGAUCAAACAGGAUUAGAUACCCUGGUAGUCCACGCCCUAAACGAUGUAUGCUUGGUGUUGGAUCAGCAAUGAUUCAGUGCCGAAAGGGAAUCUGUUAAGCAUACCACCUGGGGAGUACGAUCGCAAGGUUGAACUCAAGGAAUUGACGGGGGCCCGCACAAGCGGUGGAUCAUGUGGUUUAUUCGAUGCACGCGAGAUCUUACUCGGGCUGAGUGCAGAGUACAGAGAUGAAGUCGACGACCCGUAAGU